rnacentral:rRNA from 1 species
UACGUAGGGGGCAAGCGUUGUCCGGAUUUAUUGGGCGUAAAGAGCGUGUAGGCGGCCAGGCAGGUCCGCUGUGAAAACUCGAGGCUCAACCUCGAGAGGUCGGUGGAAACCGUUUGGCUAGAGUCCGGAAGAGGAGAGUGGAAUUCCCGGUGUAGCGGUGAAAUGCGCAGAUAUCGGGAAGAACACCCGUGGCGAAGGCGGCUCUCUGGGCCGAUACUGACGCUGAGGAGCGAAAGCAUGGGUAGCGAACAGG